rnacentral:lncRNA from 1 species
AUUAAUUCCUCUAUCAGUUCUUUAUAGCCUUUUGCAUCAUUUAAAAAAUUGUACCAUGCACUUUUGUCAAAUUUUUUGUGUGUGUAAUGUAUAGUCCUAGUCCAAAUAUAUAUCCAAAAUUCAGAAAGAUUGAAGCAAUCACUUUUACAAAUUUAGCCAAUACACAUCCAUACCCCUAUUGACAAGUCAAGAGAUGUUCCGAAAACUGUAAAUAUCACCUUUUUGCACUUGGCCUAAUCAUUCAUUCCAUAUCAAAAUCAGUUAAAAUACAACAUCCAAAAAUGUAUUUGACCUCUCUUCUUUCAUUUCCACCUAAAAAAAAAUUAAGAA